UACGUAGGGCGCGAGCGUUGUCCGGAUUUAUUGGGCGUAAAGAGCUCGUAGGCGGUUUGUUGCGUCUGCUGUGAAAACGCGGGGCUUAACUUCGCGCGUGCAGUGGGUACGGGCAGGCUAGAGUGCGGUAGGGGAGAUUGGAAUUCCUGGUGUAGCGGUGGAAUGCGCAGAUAUCAGGAGGAACACCGAUGGCGAAGGCAGGUCUCUGGGCCGUUACUGACGCUGAGGAGCGAAAGCGUGGGGAGCGAACAGGAUUAGAUACCCUGGUAGUCCAUGCUGUAAACGUUGGGCACUAGGUGUGGGGCCUUUCCGGGUUUCUGCGUCGUAGCUAACGCUUUAAGUGCCCCGCCUGGGGAGUACGGCCGCAAGGUUAAAACUCAAAGGAAUUGACGGGGGCCCGCACAAGCGGCGGAGCAUGCGGAUUAAUUCGAUGCAACGCGAAGAACCUUACCAAGGCUUGACAUACGCCGGGAUCAUGCAGAGAUGUGUGGGUCUUUGGACUGGUGUACAGGUGGUGCAUGGUU
rnacentral:rRNA from 1 species